GCCGCAGUAUUUUGACUGUGCAAAGGUAGCGUAAUUCUUGUUUUUUUAAUUAAAAAUCUGUUCAAAGAAUGAUAUGUAGAGAAUCUAUUGUUUAUAUAGUAUCUUCAAUUUGAAUAUUAAGUGAAAAUUCUUACUAUCCUAAAAAAGACGAGAAGACCCUAUAAAACUUAACUUUUUUAAAUGGGGACUUUAGAGUAUAAUAAUAGACCUUUAAUUAAAUUUAUUUGUGAAGCUACUUUAGGGAUAACAGGGUAAUAUAUUUAAAGAGUCCUUAUCGAUAAAUAUGCCUACUACCUCGAUGUUGGAUUAUUUUUCCUCAUAUAUUGUAGAAGUAUAUUGAGUUAGUCUGUUCGACUAUUAAAAAAGUACGUGAUCUGAGUUC
rnacentral:rRNA from 1 species